UGCAUUAGGUGCCCGAAAGGGAAAGUAGACACAGGUGCUGCAUGGCUGUCGUCAGCUCGUGUCGUGAGAUGUUGGGUUAAGUCCCGCAACGAGCGCAACCCUUGCCAUUAAUUGCCAUCAUUUAGUUGGGCACUUUAAUGGGACUGCCGGUGACAAACCGGAGGAAGGUGGGGAUGACGUCAAGUCCUCAUGGCCCUUAUGGCCAGGGCUUCACACGUAAUACAAUGGUCGGUACAGAGGGUUGCCAACCCGCGAGGGGGAGCCAAUCCCAGAAAGCCGAUCGUAGUCCGGAUUGCAGUCUGCAACUCGACUGCAUGAAGUCGGAAUCGCUAGUAAUCGCGGAUCAGCAUGUCGCGGUGAAUACGUUCCCGGGCCUUGUACACACCGCCCGUCACACCAUGGGAGUGGGUUCCACCAGAAGUAGUUAGUCUAACCGCAAGGAGGACGAUUACCACGGUGGGAUUCAUGACUGGGGUGAAGUC
rnacentral:rRNA from 1 species